AGUGGCGGACGGGUGAGUAACGCGUGAGAAUCUGCCUUGGGGUCGGGGACAACCACUGGAAACGGUGGCUAAUACCGGAUAAGCCGAUUGGUGAAAGAUUUAUUGCCCGAAGAGGAGCUCGCGUCUGAUUAGCUAGUUGGUGAGGUAAGAGCUCACCAAGGCAGCGAUCAGUAGCUGGUCUGAGAGGACGAUCAGCCACACUGGGACUGAGACACGGCCCAGACUCCUACGGGAGGCAGCAGUGGGGAAUUUUCCGCAAUGGGCAAAAGCCUGACGGAGCAAGACCGCGUGAGGGAGGAAGGCUCUUGGGUUGUAAACCUCUUUUCUCAGGGAAGAAGCUCUGACGGUACCUGAGGAAUCAGCCUCGGCUAACUCCGUGCCAGCAGCCGCGGUAAUACGGAGGAGGCAAGCGUUAUCCGGAAUUAUUGGGCGUAAAGCGUCCGCAGGUGGCGAUUCAAGUCUGCUGUCAAAGCACGGGGCUUAACUCCGUAAAGGCAGUGGAAACUGAAUAGCUAGAGUGCCGUAGGGGUAGAGGGAAUUCCCGGUGUAGCGGUGAAAUGCGUAGAGAUCGGGAAGAACAUCGGUGGCGAAAGCGCUCUACUGGACGGCAACUGACACUCAGGGACGAAAGCUAGGGGAGCGAAUGGGAUUAGAUACCCC
rnacentral:rRNA from 1 species